AUUGAACGCUGGCGGCAGGCCUAACACAUGCAAGUCGAGCGGAUGAGUGGAGCUUGCUCCAUGAUUCAGCGGCGGACGGGUGAGUAAUGCCUAGGAAUCUGCCUGGUAGUGGGGGACAACGUUUCGAAAGGAACGCUAAUACCGCAUACGUCCUACGGGAGAAAGUGUGGGAUCUUCGGACCUCACGCUAUCAGAUGAGCCUAGGUCGGAUUAGCUAGUUGGUGAGGUAAAGGCUCACCAAGGCGACGAUCCGUAACUGGUCUGAGAGGAUGAUCAGUCACACUGGAACUGAGACACGGUCCAGACUCCUACGGGAGGCAGCAGUGGGGAAUAUUGGACAAUGGACGAAAGCCUGAUCCAGCCAUGCCGCGUGUGUGAAGAAGGUCUUCGGAUUGUAAAGCACUUUAAGUUGGGAGGAAGGGCAGUAAGUUAAUACCUUGCUGUUUUGACGUUACCAACAGAAUAAGCACCGGCUAACUUCGUGCCAGCAGCCGCGGUAACAC
rnacentral:rRNA from 1 species